rnacentral:rRNA from 1 species
UCGAGAAUCUUCCGCAAUGGACGAAAGUCUGACGGAGCGAUGCCGCGUGCGGGAUGAAGGCCCUUGGGUUGUAAACCGCUGUCAGAGGGGAUGAAAUCUCCGGAGGUUCUCCUCCGGAGUUGACAGAGCCUCAGAGGAAGCACGGGCUAAGUAUGUGCCAGCAGCCGCGGUAAUACAUACUGUGCGAACGUUAUUCGGAAUCACUGGGCUUAAAGGGUGCGUAGGCGGCGAUUCAAGUCAGAUGUGAAAUGCCUGAGCUCAACUGAGGCAUUGCGUUUGAAACUGGAUUGCUGGAGUGUCCCAGGGGUGUGCGGAACUGCCAGUGGAGCGGUGAAAUGUGUUGAUAUUGGCAGGAACACCGGAGGCGAAAGCGGCACACUGGGGGAUAACUGACGCUGAG